CUGUUUGCCGAUGGAGCAUCAUCAAGAUUCACAAAACUUUUUUUAGGGCUGUAAAUUAAUGAUGAAAGUACAUGGUGAAAUAUUAUCAUAAGCUAUGAUCAAUAUAUAUGAAAUCAGCCCUUUGAAAUAUGAUUUUGAGAAUCUUGAUGAUGCUGCAGCGGCAAUAAA
rfam:Corchorus capsularis cultivar CVL-1 contig14061, whole genome shotgun sequence.